CGAAAGCCUGACGGAGCAAUACCGCGUGAGGGAGGAAGGCUCUAGGGUUGUAAACCUCUUUUCUCAGGGAAGAACAAAAUGACGGUACCUGAGGAAUAAGCAUCGGCUAACUCCGUGCCAGCAGCCGCGGUAAUACGGAGGAUGCAAGCGUUAUCCGGAUUUAUUGGGCGUAAAGCGUCCGCAGGUGGCAGUUCAAGUCUGCUGUCAAAGGUCGGGGCUCAACCCCGAACAGGCAGUGGAAACUGAACAGCUAGAGUACGGUAGGGGCAGAGGGAAUUCCCAGUGUAGCGGUGAAAUGCGUAGAGAUUGGGAAGAACACCGGUGGCGAAAGCGCUCUGCUAGGCCGAAACUGACACUCAUGGACGAAAGCUAGGGGAGCG
rnacentral:rRNA from 1 species